rnacentral:rRNA from 1 species
AUGAGAGCCCCCUUCCCUUUGAAACCAAAAAGGCAAGGCGACACUGAAACCAGAGAGGUUAGGUGUUGUUGGGUGCUCGCCCUUUUGGUUUUUUGGUGCGUUUGUGCUCGUCGGUGGGACGGUGCAAGGCGCAACUCCGGCGCGGUUCCUUGCCGGUUGGACGACGUUCACGUGCAACCCCGGUGUGCACUGAGUACUGUCUCGGCUACAACCUCCCUCGGCAGGCUGGGUGGGCUCCUCGUUAGCAUCGGCUUUCCCUGCCUGCCACUCCUCUCUGAUGGAGCGGACCUUUGGAUGCUCCUGGGCCUCUGGCCGUGUGCUAGAAAAAUGAGACUGCUUGGAACCCCUGGCUCCUCAGCGACUGGCGCAUUCUGGCUGUCCGAUCUCUUUGCUUGA